AGCCUCCUGGUGCUUACCACAGGCUGUGUUCUUACACAGACUGUAUAGAAAGAAAAGGCAAAGUAAACCUACAGUUCAGCUCAGGCUGUGUGCCUGGUCUGUAUUGCGAAUGGGAAAAAAUGG
rnacentral:snoRNA from 1 species